rnacentral:rRNA from 1 species
GAUGAACGCUGGCGGCGUGCAUAACACAUUCAAGUCGAACGGACAAGGGGACUUCGGUCCCUGCGUUAGUGGCGGACGGGUGAGUAACGCGUGAGCAACCUGCCCCUGUGUGUGGAACAACGUUUGGAAACGAACGCUAAUACCGCAUAAUGCAUAGGAAUCGCAUGAUUUUUAUGCCAAAGAUUUAUUGCACAGGGAUGGGCUCGCGUCUGAUUAGCUAGUUGGUGGGGUAACGGCCCACCAAGGCGACGAUCAGUAGCCGGUCUGAGAGGGUGAUCGGCCACAUUGGAACUGAGACACGGUCCAAACUCCUACGGGAGGCAGCAGUGGGGAAUAUUGCACAAUGGGCGAAAGCCUGAUGCAGCAACGCCGCGUGAAGGAAGAAGGUCUUCGGAUCGUAAACUUCUGUCCUAAGUGAAGAGAAGAAGACGGUAGC